rfam:Salmo salar isolate Sally breed double haploid chromosome ssa14, whole genome shotgun sequence.
UGUAUUCACUACUGUAAGUCACUCUGGAUAAGAGUGUCUGCUAAAUUACUAAAA